GAUGAACGCUGGCGGCGUGCCUAAUACAUGCAAGUCGAGCGAACGGACGAGACUCUUUCUUCUCUUAUGUUAGCGGCGGACGGGUGAUUAACACGUGUCUAACCUACCUAUAAGACUGGGAUACCUUCGCGAACCCUUAUCUAAUACCGGAUAAUAUUUUGAACCGCAUGGUUCUAAAGUGAAAGCCGUUCUUGCUGUCACUUAUAGAUGUAUCCACGCUGCAUUAGGUAGUUGGUACGGUAACGGCUUACCAAGGCGAAGAUCCAUAGCCGAACUGAGAGGAUGAGAAGGAACAAUGGAACGGAGACAAGGUGCAGAAUACGAAGGGAGGCAGCAGUGGGGAAUAGUGGACAAUGGGCGAAAGCAUGAAACAGCAAUGCAGCGAGUGUGAAGAAGGUAGUAGAAUUGUAAAUAAAUUGAAGGUGGGAGGAAGGGAAGUAAGUGAAUACCUGGCGGUUGGGACGUUACAAACAGAAGAAGCAACGGCUAACUUAGUG
rnacentral:rRNA from 1 species